AAAUAAGCUAAGCGACGGUCGCCGGCAACAGCUGUUAUCUAUGCUUGUGCUGUGUUAUCGAUAACAGGCGCUGCCCUCUCGCUUGGCCAUAGCAGCGAGCAAAUGUCACGCUGGGUAUCAAAAUCACUUUACACGCUUUGUCUCCAUCCACUACUCACACACACACAUACAAGCACGCCAUCUCUAGCUCUGUGUGUGUGUGUGUGUGAGUGCAUUUCGGUGCGUGGUCCACCAAGCGAAAUGCGGAACUCAUUAUGUACGUGCGGCGAUUUGUGUGCCCCGCUAACAACAACAACCAGUACAACAACAACAACAACAAUGAGAACUACAACAGGCUGAGAAGAAGCAGCAGAACUCUCAGUUUGUAUCGACUGUGCGAGACCCUGUAACAAAUUUGCAUUUGCCAUUGAGAAUAAAUGCCUUCGAUAAUUUGUCGUUAUCGGAUCGUUUGUUAUCGGGUAUGAAGGCAACUAAUAUGAAAUGUUCAUAAGCAAGCUGGGCAUCGGGAAUGAGGAUUGUGGAAUUUGAGCUUGCGUCUUGGACUUGGAUUUGGUUUUGGAUGUGGAUGUGGAUGUGGAUAAGGAGAAGGCAUUUGACUGAGGAUUGCAGUCAGUUCAAUACACUUCCGGUUAUACAAAUUGUAUGUGAAACGUGAGAAAUUCAUUUCCAAAGGUAGCCAACAAUCGAAGGUCAAAGGUUAAGUCGAUGCAUUUAAUUAUCAAUGGAUGAGAACAACAAUUAAUAAGAUGAUGAUGAGGAGAAGAAGAAGAGUUGCUAUCGAUUGUCCGACAAAAGCAGAAAGAGGUCAGCAAAAUUGUGGAAAUAAGUUUGCGCUCGAAACAUGCGAGAUUUCUAGCAUACUUUUAGGCAUGCCACGACCAACAAUCAUUGCAUACUUUUAAUCGUUUCUCGAAAUGCGCACUUAUCCAAAGCACGCUGCAUACUUUUAGGACGUGUAAUUAAAUCAGCAAAUGCAUUUGAACAAUGCAAUUCAUUGCAUACUUUCACAGACGACCAGCAGCUGAAGAUUUGUAAAUUAUCGCAUUGCUGUUUUAUUUGUUUAAUUUUGACAGAGUACAUUUAAGCAAAGCUCGAUAAACAAAUUUAUUGAUUGUCCAUUUAAACCAUAA